UACGGAGGAUGCGAGCGUUAUCCGGAUUUAUUGGGUUUAAAGGGUGCGUAGGCGGAAUAUCAAGUCAGCGGUAAAAAUUCGGGGCUCAACCCCGUCGUGCCGUUGAAACUGAUGUUCUUGAGUGGGCGAGAAGUACGCGGAAUGCGUGGUGUAGCGGUGAAAUGCAUAGAUAUCACGCAGAACUCCGAUUGCGAAGGCAGCAUACCGGCGCCCAACUGACGCUGAAGCACGAAAGCGUGGGUAUCGAACAGG
rnacentral:rRNA from 1 species